rnacentral:rRNA from 1 species
CUACGCGAUCUUAAUCCCGUGGGCGCAAUGAGAGUGAAAAGCGGGCCGGCCGAGGCCGGCCCGCUCGAGGGAAGACGGCGCCGUCGUCCUAGCGGGCGCGGUGUCUGCACUCCCGGGGCGUCUCGAUCUCUCCGCAAGGCGAGGCGAGGCGCACCCAGAGCGUACACGUUGGGACCCGAAAGAUGGUGAACUAUGCCUGGCCAGGACGAAGUCAGGGGAAACCCUGAUGGAGGUCCGCAGCGAUUCUGACGUGCAAAUCGAUCGUCUGAGCUGGGUAUAGGGGC